rnacentral:lncRNA from 1 species
CAGCGCAUCCGACCUCUAUAGGUGAUCCACUUGAAGCACCGAAUAGAUUAUCCUUUUCAGAAGUGCUAUCUCGUGACGAAGGCUCUAGAUGACUGAUAAAGACUCUUUUCUUUAGAUCAAAUGAACACCUCCAGAUCAGAAGAAGAAAUUUUUCAAGGAGGAGAUGGUGUGGAAGAAGAAGAACAAAACUGUUUUUGUUUUUCUCUCU